UACGGGGGGGGCAAGCGUUGUUCGGAAUUACUGGGCGUAAAGGGCUCGUAGGCGGCCAACUAAGUCAGACGUGAAAUCCCUCGGCUUAACCGGGGAACUGCGUCUGAUACUGGAUGGCUUGAGGUUGGGAGAGGGAUGCGGAAUUCCAGGUGUAGCGGUGAAAUGCGUAGAUAUCUGGAGGAACACCGGUGGCGAAGGCGGGUCUCUGGGCAGUAACUGACGCUGAGGAGCGAAAGCGUGGGGAGCGAACAGG
rnacentral:rRNA from 1 species